rnacentral:rRNA from 1 species
UACGAAGGGGGCUAGCGUUGCUCGGAAUCACUGGGCGUAAAGCGCACGUAGGCGGCCCGGUCAGUUCGUGGUGAAAGCGCGGGGCUCAACCCUGCGUCGGCCAUGAAUACUGCCGCGGCUGGAGCACUGUAGAGGCAGGCGGAAUUCCGGGUGUAGCGGUGGAAUGCGUAGAGAUCCGGAAGAACACCGGUGGCGAAGGCGGCCUGCUGGGCAGUUGGCUGACACUGAGGCGCGACAGCGUGGGGAGCAAACAGGG